AGAGCAGAGUGUUUAGCAGGAGCCUGAGGCAAUGGACAACCAGCUGGAAGCAAAGCGGGUGCAGCUCCUGGAGGAAAGAUGCUAUCAUACUUGGCAAGGCAUACUUUUCAGGAGAUGAGUGAAACUUCAAAACGUUUGUUGGAGCACAGUGCCUGAUCACAGACACACAUUUCAAAUGAGGAACAUGCACAAGGCAAUUUGGCCAAAGUGCUACAGAUCUGCCAACACAAAGAGGGCCAGCAUCUUAAAACUACUCCUAAGCUGGAAACGAAACAUCUCCAGGCUGACAUGAAUGAAAACGAGAAUGAUAAGAAUCACAAGAUCUCUGGCAAAGAUGAAGAGGAUUCCUGAACAAUUCCUGUUGUCUGGCCUCUCUGCCUUUCAAGGCCUGUAAUACAGAAUUGUGAUACUACUAACUGUUAAAGAAAUGAGAGGUAAACAUUGGCAGAAGAGGAACUGGAACGUUCCUUCAACCGCAGUUAUAUUCCAUUUAAUUGAAUUACUGUACAAAAUCAAAAUGACAGUGUUAUUA
ensembl:lncRNA